rnacentral:rRNA from 1 species
AGGACGAACGCUGGCGGUGCGCCUAACACAUGCAAGUCGAACGGUGAACCGGGCUUCGGCCCGGGGAUCAGUGGCGAACGGGUGCGUAACACGUGGGCAACCUGCCCCCGACCCUGGGAUAACCCCGGGAAACCGGAGCUAAUACCGGAUACUCUCCUCCGACCACAUGGUCAGAAGAGGAAAGGUCCGCCGGUCGGGGAUGGGCCCGCGGCCUAUCAGCUUGUUGGUGGGUAACGGCCUACCAAGGCGACGACGGGUAGCUGGGUCUGAGAGGACGACCAGCCACACUGGGACUGAGACACGGCCCAGACUCCUACGGGAGGCAGCAGUGGGAAUCUUGCGCAAUGGGCGAAAGCCUGACGCAGCGACACGCGUGGGGGAUGAAGGCCUUUGAGGUCGUAAACCCUUUCGGCAGGGACGAAGCGAUCUCGUGACGGCACCUGCAGAAGAAGCCUACGGCUAACUACGUGCCAGCAGCCGC